CCUACGGGUGGCAGCAGUAGGGAAUAUUUCUCAAUGGGCGAAACCCUGAAGCAGCAACGCCGCGUGCAGGAUGACGGCCUUCGGGUUGUAAACUUCUUUUAUUAGAGAGAAUAAUGACGGUAACUAACGAAUAAUCACCGGCUAACUCCGUGCCAGCAGCCGCGGUCAUACGUAGGGUGCGAGCGUUAUGCGGAAUGACUGGGUGUAAAGAGCCCGUAGGCGGGAUAGCAAGUGAGCUGUGAAAUUCUAGGGCUUAACCAUAUGACUCCAUUUGAAACUGUUAUACUAGAGUAUGGGAGAGGUAGGUGGAAUUCCUGGUGUAGGGGUGAAAUCCGUAGAGAUCAAGAGGAACACCAAUUGCGAAGGCAGCUUACUGGAACGGUACUGACGCUGAGGCGCGAAAGCGUGGGGAGCAAACAGGAUUAGAUACCCGGGUAGUC
rnacentral:rRNA from 1 species